rnacentral:rRNA from 1 species
GAACGGGUGAGUAACACGUGGGCAAUCUGCCCUUCACUCUGGGACAAGCCCUGGAAACGGGGUCUAAUACCGGAUAAUACCUGCCCGGGCAUCUGGGUGGGUUAAAAGCUCCGGCGGUGAAGGAUGAGCCCGCGGCCUAUCAGCUUGUUGGUGAGGUAGUGGCUCACCAAGGCGACGACGGGUAGCCGGCCUGAGAGGGCGACCGGCCACACUGGGACUGAGACACGGCCCAGACUCCUACGGGAGGCAGCAGUGGGGAAUAUUGCACAAUGGGCGAAAGCCUGAUGCAGCGACGCCGCGUGAGGGAUGACGGCCUUCGGGUUGUAAACCUCUUUCAGCAGGGAAGAAGCGAAAGUGACGGUACCUGCAGAAGAAGCGCCGGCUAACUACGUGCCANCAGCCGCGGUAAUACGUAGGGCGCAAGCGUUGUCCGGAAUUAUUGGGCGUAAAGAGCUCGUAGGCGGCUUGUCACGUCNGGUGUGAAAGCCCGGGGCUUAACCCCGGGUCUGCAUUCGAUACGGGCUAGCUAGAGUGUGGUAGGGGAGAUCGGAAUUCCUGGUGUAGCGGUGAAAUGCNCAGAUAUCAGGAGGAACACCGGUGGCNAAGGCNGAUCUCUGGGCCAUUACUGACGCUGAGGAGCGAAA